rnacentral:rRNA from 1 species
UUAUUAGGCAGGCAGUUUGACUGGGGCGGUCGCCUCCUAAAAGGUAACGGAGGCGCCCAAAGGUUCCCUCAGAAUGGGUGGAAAUCAUUCGCAGAGGGUAAAGGCACAAGGGAGCUUGACUGCGAGACCUACAAGUCGAGCAGGGACGAAAGUCG